rnacentral:rRNA from 1 species
GCUGUCUACCUACAGCAAUAAAUUAGUAAAGUCAAAACUAAAACUAGCACAUUUUUGAUAGAAGCAUUUCAUUUCUAGAAAUAAUGGAAUGACACCUACUUUUCAUAGAUCCAGUAUUAAUUUUUAAAUAUAGAAUAUAUUUUUUUCUUUUAUUUUAUUAAUAUUGGUAUUUUACAAUUUAAAUCUAUUUAUAGUAUGUGUGGAGUAAUCCCUACAUUGACCGGUGUAAAGGCUACAAAGAGUCCCAAAAGGAUCAUCUAACUCUUUUCAUAAGAGGUAGAAAAAAGUCUUUUUAGGGCCCCUUUUUGCCAUUUCUAGGGGGUACGGAGGUCCGUUGGAAUCGAUUCGUUAAUUUUAUUUUCUUUUUAUUUAUUUUUCCUUUCUUGAUGAGUUUUCUUUUUAUUUGUAAAAGGAAACAGAUUGUUUUAUAUUGGUCCAUAGCCAAUAAGACAAAUUAAUCCCAUUAGUACAUAACUUAUAAGAAAAGAAAGAAUUAUUAGAAUAAAAAGAUAAUAGUUAUAGGCUAUUUUUGUAUCCACAGUUAUCCUAGUGAAGGUAAAUAAUAAGGAGAAAUUAAAUAAUCUAUCGGAACGAAAGACCCUAGCUUAAAAGCUACUUAAAGUCCUCUUCCAAUCUUCCUGGUCCUAUGAAGUUUGCUAAAGCUGUGCUGACCCAUCUUUGUAGUAAAUACCCUCAACUCAUAAAUAAAUAUAGGUUUGAUUCGGAAGUUAAGAGGGGAAAUAAAAAGGAAUAAGGUGCGCAGAGUAACAGCGGUCCAGCGACGGCCAGCAUUCUGAGCCAUUAGCCAUGCAGGAGCCUAAUGCUCUGAGCGGAACCUUGCCCUUGACCCUGAAUAACUGACUUUGAUAAUAAUAAGCAUACUCGUAAGAAUAAAAACAGUAUACCUCCAUCAUAAUAGUGCAAUACCUACAGCCAUGAGCCCUUUGUGUAGUACCGAUAGCCAAAGAACUAGUGGAAUUCAGACCUAGUGUUCAGUCCGAGCUAAGACGUAAGGGAGUAAUCCUCACGUUACCCUAGUUUAGCGUCGGGUAUAGGCUGCCGUAAGCUAGGUUUGGAGACAUGACGGAAAGUGGCCUACUCGGAGUAGUAUAGUGAUAUACAGAUAACAGACUUCGUCCAUAAAGUAACUUAAAACGAAUAAGAGAGCACAGCGUGGUAGAGCAGUGGUUGACAGAAAGCGAACAGAAGGCAAUCCUAUUAAAGUGCGCCUACCCUGUUNACUCUGGAGACUAGCGAGUACUCUGGNGAGUGUGUGUNCGUAGNGAGCCUCNUACCUCCACAAGGUAAGUAGAAUACCUCAGCGCCACUCCGAAACACGGAGCAUAAUCGAGUCUUCCCAAAAGAGCUGAGGGUUUG